UGCCUCUGGUUUCUCUUCAGAUCAUAUAAAUCUUUUGCCUUUCAAUAAAGAUUUCUGUGGAGAGGAUGAAUGACUGUGGCACUUGGAUAGUAGUCUUUAACAUAUCAACUAUUACCAAG
ensembl:snRNA U5 U5 spliceosomal RNA